UUGAUCGAAUUAAGUGCCAGCUAAUGUUCUGCGCUCGUACUCGCAGCGCCCGCGGGACCGGGACCCGGGACUGCAAUUGACCGCCACACACCGGAUAUGCAAGCGGCGCAACGUUCGCCGAGAAAAAAAGUGUAACACCUCCGCCCAGGAAGCUGCAGCAAUAAGUGCUAAUCAGUAACCCAGACCCCGCCGCCUCGCAGGCACAGGCACAGGCCCCGGAUGUAGGGCAAUAAUUGCCAAUUUCAAUUUCUGUCCAAUUGGAAAAUCUCGAAAAUUGUGUGUGUGUUUUGUUUGUGCCCCAGUCAUGUCAUGCCCAGACGACUCGUAAAAUACUCACACUCGUAUACUCGUAUCUGGCCAAACUCCGACACUGGCUCCGAAUCACGCUCCAACUUCAAGUAACUCUUGACUGCGCGUCACGCACCGCGAACAGGGAUCGGAGCGGAGCCUCCCUUUCUGCCACUCUUUCCUGACUGACUUUCCGCCUCUCUCUCCCGUUUCACAAUGCACAGGCUGGUGCUUCUUCGACUGCUGCUCUGGUGGCCAGCGCUGCGUUGGCUGCCCUCAAGCCGCACUUUUGGCAACCCCCCCUGCGUCUGCUGAUAAAAGGGGGAUCCCUUACAGAGAUAGAGAAAGAGAGCGAGCAAAGAAUCGAAAAAAGGGGGAAACCUUCCAACAACAACAAAAGAAAAAGAGACAGUCUUAAAGGUGCGUUGCACUCCCGCUCGCUGGCUCGCUCGUUGCUUUUUGUCAUUGAUUCCGCGGAUAGCAUGCGGCAGGGGCAGCAAACGGCAACAGCUGCUGCGACAAUACUACAGACGAGCCACAAUAGUUGCAGCGAUUAUUUCGAGCAUCCGCCUUCCUCUGCUGCUCUGCCACCGCCCCUUGCCACCGCUGUAGUUGUAGUUGUAGUUGUUGCUGCUGUCUUCCGUAACGUGGCCAGAACGUUGCCGGGCAAUUAUUAUUUUGUAAGACGUUUUACAAUUUAAUGGUUUUCAUGAAUGGACUUGGAUCCGACCCUCUGUCAGCAAAGGAGGCAGAGGGCCCUCCGGUUCAGGUUGAACCAGUUGAUUUGAGCCUACGUUCGCCGCG